rnacentral:tRNA from 1 species
GAGAGUAUAGCUCAAGAGGCAGAGUAUGCUUAGCAUGUCUGAGGUCCUGGGUUCAAUUCCCAGUACUUCCU